UGUCUCUAAGCUUCUUUUCCUUCUACUUCUCCUCUUCCUCGUUCUCUCUCCAAUUUACAUUAUUCAUGGUAGAGAAGCCAGCGGUCCAUGGUGCCUGGCAAGUCGGGUCUCCUCUGUGGAGUCUGCAGUUCAAACACAAGUUUUAUAGUUUCCAAUGGAAUCGUGUUGGAGUCCGAUUAUUAUGAUGGCGUGGAAGGUGGACACCUCAAACCACAAAACUGAGUACCAGUACAAUGCACCGACGAGGCAUGCGCCCUGCCUUGUGUGGAGGGGGAGGACACUUGGCCUAUAACACGAGAUUCAGGGAGUUCUGUCAGACCCUUCAAUGAUGGGGACCAGAAUCCCAGUGUUCCAAGCCAGGCCUCAGGGGGACGAACCAUCCAAGACCAAGAGGAGCUACAGCGUCUGAAGUGGGAGUGGACCUGUAAGGUGUGUCGGGACAAGUGGGUCCACAUGGUCCUCAUGCCCUGUGGUCACCUGGUGUGUGAGGAGUGCUCCUCCAGGCAGCCAUCUUGUCUUUUCUGUGGAGGCCAGAUCCAGCAGCGCUUGAACAUCUCUUUCUCAUAACCAUAUGCCUGCUAGACCGUUCAGCCCUGGUCCAGCAACAUUAUUUUGCAAUAGUUGACCUUGACUGAAUGGCAGUCU